AGCAAGCCAGAUGUGGGAACCCACAAACCGUGAGAUCAUGACCUGAGACGAAGGCGGACACUCAACCGACUGAGCCACCCAGGUGCCCCCACUUGCAGACUUUUCUAAGGGAAGUAGCCUUAGGCUCAUGGAGACAGGCUCCUGCCUUUGAAGUUUUGACCCAGCCCCACGGAAGCUCAAGCUGCGUAUUAUGAUCACCAGGCUGGCAUUCCACGGCCACCCCUGAAGUCUGAGCUGUGACGUCUGCUGCAGACGAGCGGUGAAGCAGAAUAGAUUCCCCUGUUCUUUUGGGAAAUGACUCCAACUUCAUGGUUCUGCCAGAAAUGAUCCAUCACAGCACGGAACGACCACCUGACCCCAAGCCAACCAAUCAUUCUUGCCUGGGAUUCCUUCCCAUGGAGCUGGCGUGGGGAAGCUCUCUUCCCUCACGACCGUAAGCCUAGAAGCCUGGGCUACAUGUGGCCGUGACUCCAGGCCCGCGAGGACGGCCCACCUGAGAGAACAGAGGUAAGAGGGAGGGAUCUGAAUCCCUGGACCCGGAGGCCUCGACGGCUAGCUUUUCUCUGGCUCCUAGCAUUUCUUCACCUCGAGCCAUAAACUUCUUCUUGCCCCUUACGGUAGUUUUAAUUAGGUCUGUGCACUCCCAGCCCAAAGGGCCCUGUCCUCAGCAUAUCCAUCUGGACUGAUGCAACGAAGCUGCUCACAACACAGUUGACGAGGCCAAAGCACGGAAAAACAGUGCAGGGAAGAACACAUCCAAAUCAAGUAGGACUUGAUGGGCCACCUGCUACUACCAUGCACGGGGCAGUUUCCUCGGGUCACGUGAGCCAGAGGCCAGCCCCAGGCCCAGAGAGCACCCACCCUUCACACAUCCCAGAUGCCAUCCUCCUGUUUUCACGGGACGGCGUUCUCACUCACAAAGUCUGCGUGACCAGGCCCUUCUCCACUUCGGGCUACCAAGUGGUCCACCUUUCUCUCCUUCCAAGUUGCAAAAACAAAAGAACCAUGGCAGGGUACUAGGUGGAGAAUAUUUUUCCAUCGAGGCUCAGAGGAAGGCCUAGCAUCCAUUUCCGGAGCUAUGGCCUCUGAGCCUCCGCCACCAGCCCACUUCUGGCUGGGCCGGCCUCUGCUUCCGCCUCCAGUGCACAUGUCAGUCAGAGGAGCCUCUCUGAUCGCUACUUUAAAUAACAAUCCCUACUUCCACUCCCUCCUGGUAUCUUACCCUACUGGGCAUUUUUUUCUCCACCUUUGAUCACCACCUAACACGGUAUCUAUUUUCUGUUCCCAACCCAAUUAGAACGUAAACUCCGGGGGGGGGGGGGGGGGGGGGGCCAAACACCCCCUUUUUUUUAUAUUUUUAUUUUUAAAACCCAGGACAGUGCCUCACACAGGCCGUGUUUCCAAUAAAUAUCUGUUGAAUGAAUGAAUGAAUGAAUGAAUGAACAGGCAGUGACACCAGACUGGGAUCAGGGAACAGAGAGGGCAGACCGAGGGGUGAUAGAUUUCCGGUCUGCAGAAGGUUAAGACGGGCAAUUAUUUGAAAUGCCCAAUCUCAUGAGGGAUGAAAGAAGACACAGGACAAACGGGACCCAUGAAGCAGGCGGGUCCAAGCGAGUGGUACAGCUGGGUGGACAGCUUUCGGCUUUGCCUAGCGCUCCUUUACCCUUCUGACAAGAAUCCCUGAUUCUCCUCGAGUUUAUGCUGCUUUAAAGCGUGAGCAUGUGACCUGAUUUAGCCAAUCAGCAUACCCCAUGCCUUUGCCCAUAGUGAUUGCUUUCUGUUUGGAUACAUGAUCUAAU